rnacentral:rRNA from 1 species
GACGAACGCUGGCGGCGUGCUUAACACAUGCAAGUCGAACGAUGAAAAAGAGAGCUUGCUCUUUUUGGAUUAGUGGCGAACGGGUGAGUAACACGUGAGUAAUCUGCCCCUGGCUUUGGGAUAGCCACCGGAAACGGUGAUUAAUACCGGAUAUGACCACUUCACGCAUGUGAUGGUGGUGGAAAGUUUUUCGGCCAGGGAUGUGCUCGCGGCCUAUCAGCUUGAUGGUGAGGUAAUGGCUCACCAUGGCUUCGACGGGUAGCCGGCCUGAGAGGGUGACCGGUCACACUGGGACUGAGACACGGCCCAGACUCCUACGGGAGGCAGCAGUGGGGAAUAUUGGACAAUGGGCGGAAGCCUGAUCCAGCAACGCCGCGUGAGGGAUGACGGCCUUCGGGUUGUAAACCUCUUUCGCCUGUGACGAAGCGCAAGUGACGGUAACAGGUAAAGAAGCACCGGCCAACUACGUGCCAGCCGCCGCCGUAACAC